rnacentral:rRNA from 2 species
UCCAGCAGCCGCGGUAAUACGUAGGUGGCAAGCGUUGUCCGGAUUUAUUGGGCGUAAAGCGAGCGCAGGCGGUUUUUUAAGUCUGAUGUGAAAGCCUUCGGCUUAACCGGAGAAGUGCAUCGGAAACUGGGAGACUUGAGUGCAGAAGAGGACAGUGGAACUCCAUGUGUAGCGGUGGAAUGCGUAGAUAUAUGGAAGAACACCAGUGGCGAAGGCGGCUGUCUAGUCUGUAACUGACGCUGAGGCUCGAAAGCAUGGGUAGCGAACAGGAUUAGAUACCCUGGUAGUCCAUGCCGUAAACGAUGAGUGCUAAGUGUUGGAGGGUUUCCGCCCUUCAGUGCUGCAGCUAACGCAUUAAGCACUCCGCCUGGGGAGUACGACCGCAAGGUUGAAACUCAAAGGAAUUGACGGGGGCCCGCACAAGCGGUGGAGCAUGUGGUUUAAUUCGAAGCUACGCGAAGAACCUUACCAGGUCUUGACAUCUUCUGCCAAUCUUAGAGAUAAGACGUUCCCUUCGGGGACAGAAUGACAGGUGGUGCAUGGUUGUCGUCAGCUCGUGUCGUGAGAUGUUGGGUUAAGUCCCGCAACGAGCGGCACCCUUAUUAUCAGUUGCCAGCAUUCAGUUGGGCACUCUGGUGAGACUGCCGGUGACAAACCGGAGGAAGGUGGGGAUGACGUCAAAUCAUCAUGCCCCUUAUGACCUGGGCUACACACGUGCUACAAUGGACGGUACAACGAGUUGCGAAGUCGUGAGGCUAAGCUAAUCUCUUAAAGCCGUUCUCAGUUCGGAUUGUAGGCUGCAACUCGCCUACAUGAAGUUGGAAUCGCUAGUAAUCGCGGAUCAGCAUGCCGCGGUGAAUACGUUCCCGGGCCUUGUACACACCGCCCGUCACACCAUGAGAGUUUGUAACACCCAAAGCCGGUGAGAUAACCUUCGGGAGUCAGCCGUCUAAGGUGGGACAGAUGAUUAGGGUGAAGUCGUAACAA